rnacentral:rRNA from 1 species
CUUGAACGCUGCGGCAGGCUUAACACAUGCAAGUCGAGCGAGCGGCGGACGGGUGAGUAAUGCUUAGGAAUCUGCCUAUUAGUGGGGGACAACAUCUCGAAAGGGAUGCUAAUACCGCCUCCUACUAGAUGAGCCUAAGUCGGAUUAGCUAGUUGGUGGGGUAAAGGCCUACAAAGGCGACGAUCUGUAGCUGGUCUGAGAGGAUGAUCCGCCACACGGGGACUGAGACACGGCCCAGACGCCUACGGGAGGCAUCAGUGGGGAAUAUUGCACAAUGGGCGCAAGCCUGAUGCAGCCAUGCCGCGUGUGUGAAGAAGGCCUUCGGGUUGUAAAGCACUUUCAGCGGGGAGGCGUUACCCGCAGAAGAAGCACCGGCUAACUCCGUGCCAGCAGCCGCGGUAAUUC